CCUACGGGAGGCAGCAGUGAGGAAUAUUGGUCAAUGGGCGGGAGCCUGAACCAGCCAAGCCGCGUGAAGGAAGAAGGCGCCAGGCGUCGUAAACUUCUUUUGUCGGGGAACAAAGGGCGCCACGCGUGGCGUUUUGAGUGUACCCGAUGAAAAAGCAUCGGCUAACUCCGUGCCAGCAGCCGCGGUAAUACGGAGGAUGCGAGCGUUAUCCGGAUUUAUUGGGUUUAAGGGGUGCGUAGGCGGUCCGAAAAGUCAGCGGUAAAAGCCCGGGGCUCAACCCCGGAGAGCCGUUGAAACUGUCGGACUAGAGUAGGCGAGAGGUACGCGGAAUGCGCGGUGUAGCGGUGAAAUGCAUAGAUAUCGCGAAGAACUCCGAUUGCGAAGGCAGCGUACCGGCGCCGGACUGACGCUGAGGCACGAAAGCGUGGGUAUCGAACAGGAUUAGAUACCCUUGUAGUC
rnacentral:rRNA from 1 species